AGGGUGGGGGGUGAUCCCCUCCUGGGAUCCGCUUCUUCCCCCCCCUUGGGAUCCCUGGCUUUCCAGUGGAUUCCCCCGUCCCUCCUUGGCUCCCUCGCCUCCCAAUGGCCUCCCGGGAUCCCCUCGGGCUGAGCUCCAUCCCUUCCCGGGAUCCCUUCGGCUGCUUGGCUCCUGGCCCGGCGGUUCUCCUCCUGGGGGUGGAAGGGCCUUUUCCCAGGGGUCGCCCGAGACCCCCGGGGGGAGCCUGGAAGGCUUCGGAGCCUGCGUGCUGCGUCUCCCUGGCAGGAGAAGCCGGGGAAGGGAGGACGCGGGCCUUCCCUUCGGAGCCUCCCCUUCAGCUCCCCGGGCGAAGCUCCGCCGCCCCCGCCAGGAGCCUCCCGCGCCCAAAGGAGCCGCCCGAAGGGAAGGGGCGGUGGGAGGGGAGGGGCCACCGCGGCUCCUCCCACCGAAGCCCCGCCCUCCCUCCGCCUGUCCGUGGGGCUGUCUGUGGGCAGGGGGCGGAGCGAAAGGAGGGGCCGGAGUGGGGACAGACGCGCGCAGCGCAGAGGACGCUGGGAAAGCACCUCCCUCCCAGCGACGGAGCUCGGUGGGCGGAGCUACGGAGGCCAAGAGGGACCGUUGCUGAGGCGGAAAACCAGAGCGGAAAAUGAAAUAAAAGAAAGGAACGUGGCGGCGAAGGGAACGCUGGAGCCCAAUUUGGCGCUUGGGGGUCACCGCCACAGGAGGAACCGUGUCGAACGGCAUCAGGAAGGCCUUGGGGAACUGGCUGACAUCGCCUGACCUCACCUUACGUGAGAGAGCAACCCGGUCCCUGAUCCAGCUGCUUCAGAUCCCACCCGAGAACCCGACCAUCAGAAACAAGGGACACUGGAUUGGCCUGUUGGUCCCUUUCUGUGUCCAUACAGAACCUGCCUUCUGGUACUGGGGUCAAACUGCCACCUCUUGGCUGCUGAACAUGAAAUUCCCAGCUCCAGCAACAGCUGAAGGCAGUGAACAUAUCUAAGAUUCCUUCAUCCCCACAAGAACAACCUUGUGAAGGCUGAGAGAGGGACUGGCUCAAGGUCACCCACUGGGCUUCGUGGCUGAGAUGGGACUCGUAGUCAGCAACAAGGAAAAAAUGGUCAUAUGGUCAAUAUCCUUGGAUGAUCUCUCAGCGACCACUGAUGGUCCCAACUUCCAGGUUGAUGAACUGAGAGACUUCUUUGACUUUCAGACCCAGAAAUUCCAGAAAGACAAUCAGUGGAUGAAAGAUCAGCACAGCUGUCUCCAGGAGAAAGUGGAUCAACUUAAGACCACAACGGAAGACCUGCAGAAAACCUGCAGGAGAUCAUGCCAUCAGUUAG